CAAAGGGGUCCCUUGACCUCUGACCUCAAGAUAUGUGAAUGAAAAUGGGUUCUAUGGGUACCCAUGAGUCUCGCCUUUACAGGCAUGCCCACUUUAUGAUAAUCACAUGCAGUUUUGGACAAAAGCCAUACAGUUUUUUGAAUACAGUAUAAAUGGGUUAUUUUCACCUAAAAAUGGUGUAUUUGAAUAUUUCUGCAUACUGGGGUCCCUAAAGAAUCUUGGCAUUUGGAUAAAUUCCAAAAUAAUU